AACGCACAUUGCGCCUGUUGGCAUUCCGACAGGCAUGCCUGUUUGAGGGUUGAUACAUCUCGUAAUGCGGUGUUGACUGAUCCAGCGGACAGUUAAAAGAUGUUCAGCGUGAUAGUAUUAUUCGCUGUGAUAAUUAAUUUCUUAAUAUGAACCUCAAAUCAUGCAAGAUUACCCGCUGAACUUAA
rnacentral:misc_RNA from 1 species